rnacentral:lncRNA from 1 species
GCUGACUACAGCAGACAGAGCACCCACAGAGGAGCCAGUGGUCACAGCUCCCCCUGCUGCCCAUGCCAAACACGGGAGCAGAGAUGGGAGCACCCAGACUGAGGGCCCCCCAGACAGCACCUCCACCUGCCUGCCACCGGAGCCUGACAGCCUUCUGGGGUGCAGCAGUAGCCAGAGAGCAGCCUCUCUGGGUAAGUCCUCCUGACCCCACUUCUGUGCUAGGUAGGGCCGAGGGGGCACUGGGGUGUGAACUGGAACACAAGGCCUUUUCUUCCCAGACCCCCUCCGGGUCAUUGCCCGCACUCCAUGGGGAGCCGUGCAUAGCCAGAGGUGAGCAGGGUGCCUGGCCCACCUCAAUGUGAACAUGAGGGAUGGCUGGUUGCAUGAAUAGGGAAAUUGGAAACCCUGAUUAGAGGCAGAUCCAGAAUUCAGAAAGAAAGCAACCAGAUGGGAGGCACUUUAGCUCCUCUUUCAUGGUCUUCCCUACAUAGUUAAUUUCCAAUUUGAUUAUCCAAGAGAAUGGAGCUCGCAAGUCAUGCCGAUGGCACUCUGGAAGCCUGUUUAAAGAGUCCGGGAAGGAGAAAUCUGAGAAGAUGCCAUUUCUUUUUCCACUCCCCUUUCACAUUGGCCUUUGCAUAUUUGCCUGUGCCUCAUGAUCUCAGAAAACCACAGGCAUGAAAAGAAUGCUGCAGCCUGCCUCCCUCAGGGCUCUCCAUUGCUCUCUCUAAGCCCUCCAACCAGUUCAAAGUUAGAAACAAAUGCAUCCUACACAUCGGAGGUUGGUGGGCUGGGCUGAGCACUGAAAGGGGGCAGAGCAUUGUGCUUGGUUGGCCGAGUUCUGGGAACCUGGGCAGCAGAGGUGGGAAAAGUUGGUGAAGAACGAUCUUUGUCUUUCAAAUGUGCCAGGAUUUUAAAAGCAAUCUAGUAACACUCAUUGGCAUGUGCCUGUGUUCUUGUCUGUCUCCAGACUCUGUAGCUACAUCCAGAGUCCAGGACUUGUCAGACAUGGUGGAGAUACUGAUCUGAAGGAGGUGGUGCUUCAGGACUCUGAGCCAUUCUCUCCCCUCCUCUGCCCUGUGCCACUCUCAGCCAUUUCAGCAGCCCCGUCAACCGCUGCUCCGUCCCUUUCCCCAGCCAGACACUCAUUCCCAUUGACCAUCUGGUCCCAGGAGCUCAGGAGGAGGACCCCAGGGGAGAGGAGAGCUGUGAGAGCACCGGCACCCCCAGAAGACUCUGCUUCUUAGCCCACAUUCCUCCGGGCCUUAUGGAGAAUGAGGAUUCAGCCUUGACUUCUUGCCCAAGGCCUGCUACUGGGGUAGCAACUGACAGCUCAGAAAGGAGCUGAGCUCCCUCUGCCCUGCCAGUUGUCAGUCAGGCAGGGAGGGAGUGGCUGUGUUGGUUUGGGGAACUAAUUUCCACGGACGGCUGCCCGUGGACACCAGGUGGACUGGUUCACUAAUCAAGUCAGCCAUAUUGUUCUCUGGCUAAGUUUGGUUCCAGCCAACGUCAUCUGCUCUUCAGUUCCUCACUGCCUUCUUGGGAUACUAAGACUUGAAUUUUUUGGGGACUAUUAAGGGUGUUAGUCUUGGAGAAGACACAGCCUCACCUUCUCACUUGCUGUGGGUGAGGGGCCAUUUAAGUGGACUGGGAGACAGUGCGCAGUUUGUAUAUAAUUCCCUUUCUUGUGGAACAGAAGACUGAGGCCUGCAGGUUCCGAUGUGUCUCCAUGGGCUGUGCUCCCCUCUUCCUACUGUCAGUUUCUGAAACUUCUGACUGGCCUCCCAGUUAUGCCUCCUCCUCAAGUUCCUGGCCCGUGGAUGUUAAAGCUGCUCGAUUCCCAGGAUCUCGGCUGCCUUUUCCUCUAUCUUGAGCCCUAUAAAUGCCCACGGGACCCCCACCACCAGCCUCUUGAAGUGGCUCCACAGCUCCUGUCCCUGGAACAUCCUGUCAGUUUGGUCAUAAACCCUGAGCCAGAUGAAAUGAGCCACCGUGAACAGACAUCUGCCAUGCCCCCAGGUGGGCUUCGGUGGCCCUACCCGGUACCAGUUCUUUCUGAGAAACUGGAGAUGUCUUGUUAGCAUAAGUGUCUUCAUUCCCACCUGGAGGGUUUGGGAGAGGAGCAAAGCAGUUGAAAACUAGUUAAUGAGCUACAAGAGUCAAAUAGUCCUCUGAAUGGAGCCCCCAUCACAAAACAGUGCCCAGGAGGCUGGCUCCUCAAGCUACCCAUGCCCAGCGCCCUAAAGCAGCACCAGAUGCUUUGGAAUUGGGGUGAAACACCCACAUGGCAGCCUGCUAGCAGCAGUGACUUUGACUUCUGGUCUUAAAGAGUCCCUCACUUCAGCCCCAGGAGCUAUUGGUGGGUUUUAGCAGUUUUGUCUUUACCGUUUUUAGUUCUCCUUGAUUCUUUGUUUUCUUCCUUUAUCGUUUUUAGGUUUGGUAUGUGUUGUUUUAUUUCCAUGGUUCCUCAAGUUUCCUUUUUAAACAUUUGCAUUUGCUGGACAAUUGCAAUUUUUUUUAAAAAAUUCCCCUACCCCUGUUUAAAGCUGAAAAAUACAUUUGGUUCAUG